AUUAUAAAAAUAAUAUUCAUUCCUAGAAAUAUUCUCUGAAGACAGAUGCAUGAAAAAGCAAGCAAGAAAUUUUCAUAAUGUAUUCUGAAACAACCGAGGAAUUAGUAAGCAAAACAGAAAAAGUAGGAUGACAUGAUGACAUGACAUGAUCGACACAAAACAAGGUAAAGUCAUAAAGUCCGAAUCGAAAGUUUUAACAAAACAUUCGCAAAUGAACACAGCAGAGCCAUGUUUUAUUAGAAAAAGCGAAGACAGAGGUGUCAUUGGCGCUGUCCAUACAACAAAUGCAUCUCAUGGUUUGGAGUCAGGCAUCAUGCAACAAAGACAAGAAAUAAGUUUCAUGCGUUAAAGUGAAAAAGGAACUUGAAAGAGGAUGUGAAAAAGGAGCUCGAGUCACUAAUCUGUUCAUGCCAUGUUCAUCAUUCAAUGGGUGGAAAUUAAAAGGUGAUCGCGAUUUGCACAGGGUCUUA
rnacentral:lncRNA from 1 species